UGGGGAAUAUUGCACAAUGGGCGCAAGCCUUAUGCAGCCAUGCCGCCUGUAUGAAGAAGGCCUUCGGGUUGUAAAGUACUUUCAGCGGGGAGGAAGGGAGUAAAGUUAAUACCUUUGCUCAUUGACGUUACCCGCAGAAGAAGCACCGGCUAACUCCGUGCCAGCAGCCGCGGUAAUACGGAGGGUGCAAGCGUUAAUCGGAAUUACUGGGCGUAAAGCGCACGCAGGCGGUUUGUUAAGUCAGAUGUGAAAUCCCCGGGCUCAACCUGGGAACUGCAUCUGAUACUGGCAAGCUUGAGUCUCGUAGAGGGGGGUAGAAUUCCAGGUGUAGCGGUGAAAUGCGUAGAGAUCUGGAGGAAUACCGGUGGCGAAGGCGGCCCCCUGGACGAAGACUGACGCUCAGGUGCGAAAGCGUGGGGAGCAAACAGG
rnacentral:rRNA from 1 species